rnacentral:rRNA from 1 species
GACGAACGCUGGCGGCGUGCUUAACACAUGCAAGUCUACGAGAACGAGGUAGCAAUAUCUUUAGUAAAGUGGCGCACGGGUGCGUAACACGUAAGCAAUCUACCUUUGGGUCUGGAAUAACUUCGAGAAAUCGAGGCUAAUACCGGAUAAUGCAGCGGCAUCGCAUGGUGAUGUUGUUAAAAGUUUAAGUAAUGCCUAGAGAUGAGCUUGCGCCUGAUUAGCUAGUUGGUGAGGUAAAGGCCCACCAAGGCGAUGAUCGGUAGCCGGCCUGAGAGGGUGUACGGCCACACUGGGACUGAGAUACGGCCCAGACUCCUACGGGUGGCUG